rnacentral:rRNA from 1 species
UACGAAGGGGGCUAGCGUUGUUCGGAAUUACUGGGCGUAAAGCGCACGUAGGCGGACUCUUAAGUCGGUGGUGAAAUCCUGGAGCUCAACUCCAGAACUGCCUUCGAUACUGGGAGUCGUCGAGUCCGGGAGAGGUGAGUGGAACUGCGAGUGUAGAGGUGAAAUUCGUAGAUAUUCGCAAGAACACCAGUGGCGAAGGCGGCUCACUGGCCCGGUACUGACGCUGAG